GAGAGAAUACAGAGGGUUGUUCGCCUGGUGAUGAAUAUUGUAAUUUCUCAGGACAAGCACGAGCGACGAGAGUGAGUGAGUGAGCGAGAGAGCUCUUUUGCGCCGCUCUCCUUUCCAGAUGGAAACUGUGUUUCUCUGCGAUGCAGACAGGACGGGGCUAGAGCGCUCUCGCACUAACAAGAUUCACUUUAAGACGCAGCUGAAGGAAGCAGGAAGACGGCGCGUCAUAAUCAUUGUGAUGUAACAUUUCCACCUACCAAUAAGAACAGUCCGCUGGAUUUAGAGGAAUACAAAACGCCUAACUUCACCGACGUGGAGAAAGACUCGCCGGUCAAAAAAGACUGCUUUCACCAUCCACUUUAAACAACAAACGAAUUUGCGGAACCUCACGUAAGGAAGCGCCUGAGGCAGAGGAGGCCCUUACUGAAGGACUACAGACAGUCAUUUGAAACAGCAGAAAACAAAGCUGCCUCAUUUUUCUUUGGUAAUUGCUGAUCGGAACAAAAGCUUUGCGUGUCUUCAAACUGUUUGCAAAGGAAAUAAUGACGGCGGAGGAAGGAAGGACUUCACGGCAAAUCAUGACAAAUCACGCCCAAGGUUCAUCCCCCACAGUUCAUGACCUGGAGAUCCCGGGCUUCACCUGGAGCGGGAGAGAAAGCCUAGAGGCUCGGAUGAAAGAAGAAGUCUUCGAAGGAGUUCAGGUUACACAGCGUUAUUAUGACAAGAAGCUACUGUUUCUCCCCCUCCGCUCCUUCCCCUUUUGUCUUGCUUUUUGACACCUUCUUUGAGCGCGAGAGGGACCGGAUAUGUUUCAUCACAAUGGCCGCCGCGCUGAAAGCGCAUAUUAUCUUUAUUCGGAAUCUUGCGUCGUGUUACUGUACGGUCCUUGGGUCCCGGCGAUGGUUGCGAGGCACCCCCCCCCCCCACCACCACCACCACCACCUCCCAUCAUGCCACCCUCCCCUGGUUCGCAGUGACACCCUGCUCACUCUCUCACUUUCUCAUCGUUUCCGCAAUGAUUAAGCGAACAAUGUCCCACGUCAUUGUUCGUUUGGGCCCUCUGUCAUUCUGCAGCUUUAUCUCCUUUGAUACUUCUGGCAGCACACAAAGACACCAUAGUGGGCCGCCUCGUCGUCCGCUAAACUUCAAUGGCUUUUGUGGCGGCUGGUGUGUUUUGUGCACGUCCGUCAGCUCCCGGCCUCGCCCUGAAGAAGCCCUCAGUCACCACGUCCGGAUGCUCUGAAAGAUG
ensembl:lncRNA